rnacentral:rRNA from 1 species
GCCUUUGGACAUCUUGAUAGUGCUUGUCGGGUUCGGGCCUGGUUAGUACUUGGAUGGGAGACCACCUGGGAAUACCAGGUGCUCUAGGCU